rnacentral:SRP_RNA from 3 species
UCUUGGUCCCCUGAAGGCGACAUGUUGUGAACUCCGCCAGGCCUGGAAGGGAGCAACGGUAACAGCGGCGUCGGGCUUUGGGUAAGGCUGGAUGGG